UCUCCUGGAAAACGGGUGGUAAUGCCGGAUGCUCCAGUUGAUCGCAUGGUCUUCUGGGAAAGCCUUUGCGGCAUGGGAUGGGGUCGCGUCCUAUCAGCUUGAUGGCGGGGUAACGGCCCACCAUGGCUUCGACGGGUAGCCGGCCUGAGAGGGCGACCGGCCACAUUGGGACUGAGAUACGGCCCAGACUCCUACGGGAGGCAGCAGUGGGGAAUAUUGCACAAUGGGCGCAAGCCUGAUGCAGCGACGCCGCGUGAGGGAUGGAGGCCUUCGGGUUGUAAACCUCUUUUGUUAGGGAGCAAGGCAUUUUGUGUUGAGUGUACCUUUCGAAUAAGCACCGGCUAACUACGUGCCAGCAGCCGCGGUAAUACGUAGGGUGCAAGCGUUAUCCGGAAUUAUUGGGCGUAAAGGGCUCGUAGGCGGUUCGUCGCGUCCGGUGUGAAAGUCCAUCGCUUAACGGUGGAUCCGCGCCGGGUACGGGCGGGCUUGAGUGCGGUAGGGGAGACUGGAAUUCCCGGUGUAACGGUGGAAUGUGUAGAUAUC
rnacentral:rRNA from 1 species